UACGGAGGGAGCUAGCGUUGUUCGGAAUUACUGGGCGUAAAGGGCACGUAGGCGGCUUUGUAAGUUAGAGGUGAAAGCCCGGGGCUCAACUCCGGAACUGCCUUUAAGACUGCAUCGCUUGAAUCCAGGAGAGGUGAGUGGAAUUCCGAGUGUAGAGGUGAAAUUCGUAGAUAUUCGGAAGAACACCAGUGGCGAAGGCGGCUCACUGGACUGGUAUUGACGCUGAGGUGCGAAAGCGUGGGGAGCAAACAGG
rnacentral:rRNA from 1 species